rnacentral:rRNA from 1 species
CAUGCGGAGGAAAAGAAACCAACAGGCAAUGCCUCAGUAGCGGCGAGUGAGCGGCAAGAGCUCAGAUUUGAAAUCGUGCUUGCGGCACGAGUUGUAGAUUGCAGGUUGGAGUCUGUGUGGAAGGCGGUGUCCAAGUCCCUUGGAACAGGGCGCCCAGGAGGGUGAGAGCCCCGUGGGAUGCCGGCGGAAGCAGUGAGGCCCUUCUGACGAGUCGAGUUGUUUGGGAAUGCAGCUCCAAGCGGGUGGUAAAUUCCAUCUAAGGCUAAAUACUGGCGAGAGACCGAUAGCGAACAAGUACUGUGAAGGAAAGAUGAAAAGCACUUUGAAAAGAGAGUGAAACAGCACGUGAAAUUGUUGAAAGGGAAGGGUAUUGCGCCCGACAUGGGGAUUGCGCACCGCUGCCUCUCGUGGGCGGCGCUCUGGGCUUUCCCUGGGCCAGCAUCGGUUCUUGCUGCAGGAGAAGGGGUUCUGGAACGUGGCUCUUCGGAGUGUUAUAGCCAGGGCCAGAUGCUGCGUGCGGGGACCGAGGACUGCGGCCGUGUAGGUCACGGAUGCGGCAAAAACCCCCACACCGCCCGUCAGAACAAAGGACACA